CCUACGGGGGGCAGCAGUGGGGAAUAUUGGGCAAUGGACGCAAGUCUGCCCCAGCAACGCCGCGGGAAGGAAGAAGGCUUUCGGGUUGUAAACUUCUUUUAAGGGGGAAGAGCAGAAGACGGUACCCCUUGAAUAAGCCACGGCUAACUACGUGCCAGCAGCCGCGGUAAUACGUAGGUGGAAAGCGUUGUCCGGAUUUACUGUGUGUAAAGGGCGUGCAGCCGGAGAGACAAGGCAGAUGUGAAAUCCACGGGCUCAACCCGAGAACUGCAUUUGAACUGUGCUGCUAGAGUGUCGGAGAGGCAGGCGGAAUUCCUAGUGUAGCGGUGAAAUGCGUAGAUAUUAGGAGGAACACCAGUGGCGAAGGCGGCCUGCUGGACGAUGACUGACGUUGAGGCUCGAAAGCGUGGGGAGCAAACAGGAUUAGAUACCCCAGUAGUC
rnacentral:rRNA from 1 species